rnacentral:rRNA from 1 species
GACGUAGGGCGCGAGCGUUGUCCGGAUUUAUUGGGCGUAAAGAGCUCGUAGGCGGCUUGUUGCGUCGUCCGUGAAAACUUGUGGCUUAACCACAGGCUGGCGGUCGAUACGGGCAGGCUGGAGUUCGGUAGGGGAGACUGGAAUUCCUGGUGUAGCGGUGAAAUGCGCAGAUAUCAGGAGGAACACCGGUGGCGAAGGCGGGUCUCUGGGCCGAUACUGACGCUGAGACGCGAAAGCGUGGGGAGCGAACAGG